rnacentral:rRNA from 1 species
UACGUAGGUGGCAAGCGUUGUCCGGAUUUAUUGGGUUUAAGGGGUGCGUAGGCGGCUUUGUAAGUCAGUGGUGAAAUACUCCAGCUUAACUGGAGGGGUGCCAUUGAUACUGCGGAGCUUGAGUACAGAUGAGGUAGGCGGAAUUGACGGUGUAGCAGUGAAAUGCGUAGAUAUCGUAAGGAAGACCAGUGGCGAAGGCGAAUCUCUGGACAGUUACUGACACUGAGGCACGAAGGCCAGGGGAGCAAACGGG